rnacentral:rRNA from 1 species
AAUGGGCGAAAGCCUGAUGCAGCAACGCCGCGUGAGUGAUGAAGGCCUUCGGGUUGUAAAGCUCUGUCUUUGGGGACGAUAAUGACGGUACCCAAGGAGGAAGCCACGGCUAACUACGUGCCAGCAGCCGCGGUAAUACGUAGGUGGCAAGCGUUGUCCGGAUUUACUGGGCGUAAAGGAUGCGUAGGCGGAUUUUUAAGUGAGAUGUGAAAUUCCCGAGCUUAACUUGGGAGCUGCAUUUCAAACUGGAAGUCUAGAGUGCGGGAGAGGAGAAUGGAAUUCCUAGUGUAGCGGUGAAAUGCGUAGAGAUUAGGAAGAACACCAGUGGCGAAGGCGAUUCUCUGGACCGUAACUGACGCUGAGGCAUGAAAGCGUGGGUAGCAAA